GGUUAAGCGACUAAGCGUACACGGUGGAUGCCCUGGCAGUCAGAGGCGAUGAAGGACGUGCUAAUCUGCGAAAAGCGUCGGUAAGGUGAUAUGAACCGUUACAGCCGGCGAUGUCCGAAUGGGGAAACCCAGUGUGAUUCGUCACACUAUCGUUAACUGAAUACAUAGGUUAACGAGGCGAACCGGGGGAACUGAAACAUCUAAGUACCCCGAGGAAAAGAAAUCAACCGAGAUUCCCCCAGUAGCGGCGAGCGAACGGGGAGCAGCCCAGAGUCUGAAUCAGCUUGUGUGUUAGUGGAACGGUCUGGAAAGUCCGACGGUACAGGGUGAUAGUCCCGUACACCAAAAUGCACAGGCUGUGAACUCGAAGAGUAGGGCGGGACACGUGGUAUCCUGUCUGAAUAUGGGGGGACCAUCCUCCAAGGCUAAAUACUCCUGACUGACCGAUAGUGAACCAGUACCGUGAGGGAAAGGCGAAAAGAACCCCGGCGAGGGGAGUGAAAAAGAACCUGAAACCGUGUACGUACAAGCAGUGGGAGCACCUUCGGGUGUGACUGCGUACCUUUUGUAUAAUGGGUCAGCGACUUAUAUUCUGUAGCAAGGUUAACCGUAUAGGGGAGCCGCAGGGAAACCGAGUCUUAACUGGGCGUUAAGUUGCAGGGUAUAGACCCGAAACCCGGUGAUCUAGCCAUGGGCAGGUUGAAGGUUGGGUAACACUAACUGGAGGACCGAACCGACUAAUGUUGAAAAAUUAGCGGAUGACUUGUGGCUGGGGGUGAAAGGCCAAUCAAACCGGGAGAUAGCUGGUUCUCCCCGAAAGCUAUUUAGGUAGCGCCUCGUGAACUCAUCUUCGGGGGUAGAGCACUGUUUCGGCUAGGGGGUCAUCCCGACUUACCAACCCGAUGCAAACUACGAAUACCGAAGAAUGUUAUCACGGGAGACACACGGCGGGUGCUAACGUCCGUCGUGAAGAGGGAAACAACCCAGACCGCCAGCUAAGGUCCCAAAGUCACAGUUAAGUGGGAAACGAUGUGGGAAGGCACAGACAGCCAGGAUGUUGGCUUAGAAGCAGCCAUCAUUUAAAGAAAGCGUAAUAGCUCACUGGUCGAGUCGGCCUGCGCGGAAGAUGUAACGGGGCUAAACUGUGCACCGAAGCUGCGGCAGCGACACUAUGUGUUGUUGGGUAGGGGAGCGUUCUGUAAGCCUGCGAAGGUGGCCUGUGAGGGUUGCUGGAGGUAUCAGAAGUGCGAAUGCUGACAUAAGUAACGAUAAUGCGGGUGAAAAGCCCGCACGCCGGAAGACCAAGGGUUCCUGUCCAACGUUAAUCGGGGCAGGGUGAGUCGACCCCUAAGGCGAGGCCGAAAGGCGUAGUCGAUGGGAAACAGGUUAAUAUUCCUGUACUUGGUGUUACUGCGAAGGGGGGACGGAGAAGGCUAUGUUAGCCGGGCGACGGUUGUCCCGGUUUAAGCAUGUAGGCGGAGGUUCCAGGUAAAUCCGGUACCUUUUAACGCUGAGGUGUGAUGACGAGGCACUACGGUGCUGAAGUAACAAAUGCCCUGCUUCCAGGAAAAGCCUCUAAGCAUCAGGUAACAUUGAAUCGUACCCCAAACCGACACAGGUGGUCAGGUAGAGAAUACCAAGGCGCUUGAGAGAACUCGGGUGAAGGAACUAGGCAAAAUGGUGCCGUAACUUCGGGAGAAGGCACGCUGAUAUGUAGGUGAAGCCCCUGCGGGUGGAGCUGAAAUCAGUCGAAGAUACCAGCUGGCUGCAACUGUUUAUUAAAAACACAGCACUGUGCAAACACGAAAGUGGACGUAUACGGUGUGACGCCUGCCCGGUGCCGGAAGGUUAAUUGAUGGGGUUAUCCGUAAGGAGAAGCUCUUGAUCGAAGCCCCGGUAAACGGCGGCCGUAACUAUAACGGUCCUAAGGUAGCGAAAUUCCUUGUCGGGUAAGUUCCGACCUGCACGAAUGGCGUAAUGAUGGCCAGGCUGUCUCCACCCGAGACUCAGUGAAAUUGAACUCGCUGUGAAGAUGCAGUGUACCCGCGGCAAGACGGAAAGACCCCGUGAACCUUUACUAUAGCUUGACACUGAACAUUGAGCCUUGAUGUGUAGGAUAGGUGGGAGGCUUUGAAGCGUGGACGCCAGUCUGCGUGGAGCCAACCUUGAAAUACCACCCUUUAAUGUUUGAUGUUCUAACGUUGGCCCCUAAUCGGGGUUGCGGACAGUGUCUGGUGGGUAGUUUGACUGGGGCGGUCUCCUCCCAAAGAGUAACGGAGGAGCACGAAGGUUAGCUAAUCCUGGUCGGACAUCAGGAGGUUAGUGCAAUGGCAUAAGCUAGCUUGACUGCGAGCGUGACGGCGCGAGCAGGUGCGAAAGCAGGUCAUAGUGAUCCGGUGGUUCUGAAUGGAAGGGCCAUCGCUCAACGGAUAAAAGGUACUCCGGGGAUAACAGGCUGAUACCGCCCAAGAGUUCAUAUCGACGGCGGUGUUUGGCACCUCGAUGUCGGCUCAUCACAUCCUGGGGCUGAAGUAGGUCCCAAGGGUAUGGCUGUUCGCCAUUUAAAGUGGUACGCGAGCUGGGUUUAGAACGUCGUGAGACAGUUCGGUCCCUAUCUGCCGUGGGCGCUGGAGAAUUGAGGGGGGCUGCUCCUAGUACGAGAGGACCGGAGUGGACGCAUCACUGGUGUUCGGGUUGUCAUGCCAAUGGCAUUGCCCGGUAGCUAAAUGCGGAAGAGAUAAGUGCUGAAAGCAUCUAAGCACGAAACUUGCCCCGAGAUGAGUUCUCCCUGAGACUUUAAGUCUCCUGAAGGAACGUUAAAGACGAUGACGUUGAUAGGUCGGGUGUGUAAGCGUAGCGAUACGUUGAGCUAACCGAUACUAAUGAACCGUGAGGCUUAACCUU
rnacentral:rRNA from 1 species